rnacentral:lncRNA from 1 species
CAACUCAACUAAACCAUAACCACAUCAUAAAUCCAUAAGCGUAGCAAUCUAUACAAUCACAAAACCAACAUGUAUUACAUGUUUAUAUCAUUACACAGUUUAAACUUUAACAUUCCCAAAAUCCCAACGCAAGAGGUACUUUCCAAAUAUUUACAAGAUACAUAAAUCUAGAUUUGUCGUUGAUACACACAAAAGAACUUAUACAAUAUCAACUUAUUAAUUACGAAAGAUUUGCCCCAAAACCUUCUAGCUUUCCACUGCCUCAACCCAAUUCUAGCUUUUCAGUGCAUAACAAGCUACCUUGAAAAAUUUAUAUAGCAACGGGGUGAGCAUAAAGAGCUCAGCAAGCGACUAACAUAUCCAUGGCGAUAGGAGAAGUUCAAGCAGGCUUAGUAUCAAGAUAACAAAAGCAGAAAUACAAGUGUUCAUUUGAAGUCAUCUCAUUUGAUAUAAAAUCACAAAGGUUUACCUCGUUUAAAAACAGGCAUUAGACAUAACAAUAGGAGAAAGGAAAUUGGAGCAUGUCAUUGGCAUAAGGAGCAUAUCGAUGACAUAUGAUAAUUUCAAGGCAUAACAAAGACGUAAGGAGCAUUUUGGAUAUCUAUGGCAUAUGAAACAGUUCGGAACAUAUCAAUGGUGAAUGAAAUGCUUCAGAACAUAUCAAUGGCAUAUGGAAAUAUUUCGGAAGCAUAAGAAGCAUUUCAGAACAUAUCAAAAAACAAUUAUGAAAUAGAAGCUCAAACGUCGUACUCUAGCAUAGUGCAUGUUAGGAUUAACUCAGUGGUGGCUCCACACCGUGAUGAGUUCUCGACUCCAUCCACGGGUAGCCCUUUCCUACUCGAGCCCUCUCACCCUGCCCAAGUGCUAGGUCGGCUCUAAAUUUUAUAUCAAACAGAUAGAAGGUGAAGUGGGAUCAUAACAUAAUAUGGUCCAUCCAUUUCUGGAUGACCACCAAGCAUAAGUCUCCCACGUCUGGGAGCUCCAUCCACCCACGUCUGAGUGAAGUCAAUGGGGCCGGCAGAGCAAUCGCGGGCUCUAAGCAUAACUCCCUUUACCAUUUCUGGCAAAGGUUCACAAUAUCCCACAAGACACCAGAGUACAAAAAGGGUAGUAUGAACAAUAACAUUGACACAUAUCAGAAGUACAUGCGGAACAACGAAGAUAUGCAUGUGCCUUUAUCAAACAAGGAAAUGCAAAUAAAGCAUUACAUAAUAAAUUUCAGUUAUACAAUAAUUUCAGGAUGAACAAUACAAGAACUUCAAAGGACUAAUAUAAAGCUCAAUUGAAGAAGAAUUUAGCAGAAAUCAUAUUUCCAAUAGGAUAAAAAUUGAAUAGGCAAAACCCAACAAAGUUUUCAAUUCUGAUAGAAUUUGAAUGGUACAUUUCCUGAAUUGUUUGAGUGACCAACCAUGCUCCAAAUCACUAAAAAUAGAUGUCAUUGGAAAGCUGUAUCAAUCUAUUUUCGGAUGAACUUAGAUUUAUAAUUUUUUGAGUUCUUAACAGGAAGUUACAACAAAUAGAGUAAAGGAAGGUCAGAAUUGAUCAUCUCUGUUUUGCAGAAUUGAUAGAGUCAAUUUAAACAGAUGUUUUAGAAGGCAAACGUACUUCAAAAUUACUAAAUUAUAUGUCAAAAGAAAGAUAUGCGAAUCUAGUUUCAAAAGAACUAAGCUUUGUAUAAUUCAGAAUUUUCUCUAGAGAGUUAUAAGCAAUUUAGUAAUAGAAGGUCAGAUAUUUCAGUCCCUAUUUUGCAGAAUCUGUAGGGUUAAUUGAAACAGAAGUCAUAGUAGGCAUUUAAACUCCAAAUCAUUCAAUAUUAGUAUCAAAAUAAAGAUAUUUGAGUCUACUUUCAAAUGGAUUAGGUUUUGCAUAAAUCA